UACAGAGGGUGCAAGCGUUAAUCGGAAUUACUGGGCGUAAAGCGCACGUAGGCGGUUUUUUAAGUCAGAUGUGAAAGCCCCGGGCUCAACCUGGGAAUUGCAUUUGAAACUGGGGAACUAGAGUGUGUGAGAGGGGGGUAGAAUUCCAAGUGUAGCGGUGAAAUGCGUAGAGAUUUGGAGGAAUACCAGUGGCGAAGGCGGCCCCCUGGCACAACACUGACGCUCAGGUACGAAAGCGUGGGGAGCAAACAGG
rnacentral:rRNA from 1 species